CUGAUAACAAGAUAGUUCAAGUGAUUUGCCAAAGACCAAGAACAUUCCACCACCAAUGCCUGAGUCCAGGUUUAUGGCUGACAACACUACGAGUAGCAAGUGACCAGGGAGGAGGAUAAUCCUAGUGCAAGGAAGCAACAAAAUAAAGCACUGAAAGAAUGUAGAAGUCACAAAGACAGUGACCUUCAUAAGCCGUGUGAAGUUUUAUAAUGCAUGACGGCUUUUUUAGCAACAAGCAGAAGGCAUGCCAAGAAACAGAGUGAGAAAUCAUGUGACUACAGAGAGAUGGAAAGACUAGUUACUUCAGACCCCAAUGGCUUCACUUUCAUGAGCCUCAGUUGCGCUCCUCCCUCUGUUGCACUGUGACAACUCCUCUUCAACAAAUUUCCUCCUUAUCUGAAUGGAUCUCGGUUCCUCACCACCAAGAAAGCCUCAUGAAAGAAGUUAUGGACAACACAGGUCUCCAUUCUGCCAAGUGAGCAUGAAGCAAGAAAGUGCUGUCUCUGCAGCAGAGAGGAACCCUCACCAGCCGCUCCAUCUGCCAGUUCCUUGAUCCUGAACGUCCCUGCCUCCAAACUGCUAUAGACACAUUCGUAUGAUGUGUAGAUAACCCAAUCUCAUUUUGUUACCACAGCAUGAACAAACAAGACCCUCAGUAAGAUGGUGAUAAAAGGAACUUAUUUGGGGAUGUGGUUUGUGAGUGGUUUCAUCUGAUGUUGGUCUGUGCAACUGUUCAUAUUUGACAGAACACCAUGGCCUGCAUAUGGAUGCAAGACCAGCUCUCAGUACCUUUCCUUCAGGGGAGAGCAUAUAAUAAAAAACAAAACUAAGAAUAGUUACUAUUUGCUCCUAAGAAAAUAUUUUGGAGUUUGCUGUUUCUUUAUCUCUCGAUGUUUGAAAAUAAAUGUUUGCUUCAAAAUAAUAAAAGAGCUACCAUGACUCCAACUUAACAAAAGUGCUCAGCACCUCUUUCCUUUCUUAUAGACUCCGGUUCUAUAUAGUGACAUAAACACUCAUCCUUUUGUAUCCUACAGUGUUCACAGGCAGGAAGACCAUUGUCUUAGAAAAACAAUGAAUACAAUAUAAUCUUCAUGAAAAAUGUAAAACACUGCAUCUCAUUGAGGAAUUGUGAAUGCAGUAGUGUGAUAUACUAAUAUUGCAGUAUCGUAGUGAUACUUUCUGUUUUAGUUUAUUUCUUAGUCAAUCUCUUCCUUCUGUAUAUGGGAAAAUUGGGAAACCUUUAUAGUGAAAUUGAUUUCAUUUCAUCACAGCAAAAUAUAAUUUAUAAUGCCUUUUGGCAUUUGCAUUAGUUGAAGACAAGUUCAUGAAUAUGUGCGAAUCAAGGCUUUAUUAAAUUACGCUCUAGAUUUUUAAAACUCUGUCAAAAUUCCAUGUUAGGUUGAUCUUUAAAUUUAAAGAAUUUAUUAAUAUAUUAGAUUCUCAGGGUCAUAGAAAAUGCAUUAUAAUUACUACAGCACAAUUAUCUUGCUAACAUGGUAUCAAUACAAAGAGAACAGGUUCAGUGUAGUUCAUAGCUACAAUCCUUGGAAUAUAAUGAUACUUCCUUUCUCCUUCCCUGCCUUCUUCUCACUCUCCAUACCCUUCCUUCUUUCUUUCCUCCUUCUUUCUAAUUUUCAAGAUAACAAAUUUUCCACCAAAUAAGGAGUUCAACAAGCAAAAAGUAAAAAGACCAUAGUUCAGUUAAAAUAUAAUAGGUAAGGGCUAUAAAUACAUAUAAUAAAUUUUAAAAUAAUCACAGAGCAUUAAAACUAUAGAAGUGUAUCAUCUUUAACCAUUGAUUUGACAAAGAUAUA